AUUAUGACUGCUUCCUCUUAUCAUCUUCUAAGUCUUUGCUGCACCCUGCCUGUCUUGCAGUCCAAGGAGCUGUUUUCCUAAGGGUUUUGCAUUGUAGGCUUCAGUCCUGCAAGAGGACUCUGCUUACCAAGGACUCUGCACAGAGCUGCUCCCCCUCAGGUGUCGAGGGGUCAUUUACGUAGGAUCUAAAAUGAAAGAUAUAAAGAAGAGGACACGACAGACAAGAAGACUUUUCUGGCUUUAUGACACUCUGUGGAAAAAAUGUAAUCCUGAACACUAGAAAAUGAAGCCCUCUUCCAAUAAGAAUGGAAUCAAUGAUUUUGUGCCAAAUUGUUUACCCAAGAACCUGAAAAUUAUCUAACAGCUGACCUGGCAGACAGCUGAGAUGAGAAAAGGUAGUGUGGCAGAGCUGAGAGGAAGACAAUAUGAUGCAAGCAGUAACAAUAGAUAGCUUGGAAAAUGUGAUGAUAAAUACCAAAAUGUUAAGCUUGCAUCCACACCACUCGUUUGCUUUAAAAAUAAAAAAAUAAAAAAAUUGGCUUUUUGUAGUAGCCUUUGGUAUUCAAAAUGUGGUUGUCCUGGGUUUAGUUCUGAAGUGUUUCCCUACCUAGAAUCCAUUUCUGCAAUGAUCAUGUCCAUUAGCAUGCCUGUUCUUUCACAUAUGAA